ACGUCAAGUCCUCAUGGCCCUUAUGGGCUGGGCUACACACGUGCUACAAUGGCGCUGACAGAGGGCAGCUAGCUCGCGAGAGUAAGCUAAUCCCUAAAAGGCGCCUCAGUUCAGAUUGCACUCUGCAACUCGAGUGCAUGAAGUUGGAAUCGCUAGUAAUCGUGGAUCAGCAUGCCACGGUGAAUACGUUCCCGGGCCUU
rnacentral:rRNA from 1 species